rnacentral:lncRNA from 1 species
UUUUAUUUCACUUACUGUAAAUGUGAGUUAGAGCAAAUAGGCUCCUGAUGGUUAGCUGGGCUGGCUACUUUAGCCUUGCAGGAGGCAGUGUAUUACAAUGGCAGUAGAUGUUUGGGAGUCAGGUGUAUAAUUUUGGCUUCACUACCUACUGGGUGUGAGGCUUAACCUCUCUGAGUUUUAGUUUCCUCUUCUGUACAGUAGGGUUAAUACAUUUUCCCUAGGUCAUUUCUAACUUUUAUAUAAGCUCACAAAUGUAAAACAAAAAACUGUAUGGUAGGAUAUUUCUAGGCAAAUCAAUGUAUGUUAUGGUCCCUCUUGCUUUUCUUUGACUUAAAUGGAAUCAAUCAUUGCAUUGGAUAAGAAGGGAAGCAGUACUGGUUGAGUGAACACUGUGAAUUUGGAGGACGUGUGCUGGACCUCAGCCAUACCUCUAACACAUUGGGUAACCUUGGACACACAACGUGACCUCACAGAACUCCAGUUCCCUCUGUCAUAAUCUGGAAUGAUGAUAUCAAUCAAGUGAAGCAGCUAUCACAGGGUCUGGAACAUAGUACAUCCCAGCCUUCUUGCACAUAGAAACACUACACAGCACUUCAGCUGUAUGUUUGGGGGCCAUUUUAAACAGCAAAAUCAUCAACAGGAAGCAGAAAAUUGUAAAAAUUGUGGCACUAAAUAGACCAUGUAAAGGACACAUGUUUGCAAUAAGAAAGCUGAAACAAGAAGGGGGAGUGUCACCUUAUUUGAUCCAGCUAGAAACUCAGGUGCUGGUAUUCCAGCAACACUCAGGCGGCUGCUCCAGGAGGCUGCAGAGGGGUCCUUUUUAGCCGUCAACAAAACUGGCUAUGGUCACGCCCAUUGGGAAACUCAUUGCUGCCUUCAAGGACUCAGAAGCUGUAGGAAUAUUCAGGCACAGACACCAGACCCAGCUUCAUCUCUAACUUGUGGCAAAGGACAGUACAUCCUGGGAUGGGACCCUAUGCUCCCCUAUGCCAUUUAGACAGAGCCUGGGGAGAGUGACUUCCCAGGGUAUCCAUGUUGGAAUCUCUCAUUUGAUUCUUAUUCAAAUUUAGGUUCUGUCAAUAGAAGAUACUAAAGAAAGAAAGCCAGGAGAAGAAAAGGGACUUCUUUCUUCAAGGUCUAAGCUGUUCUAAUAGCAUUAUUCUGGGAAUGGCAUCUUCCACUCCUCCUAGUACAAAGAACCUGCUUCCUCAUACCCCGUCAAGGAACUGCAGCAUCCAGAAUACAUUCAUACCUAACACCUCAAUAGAUGACAUGUUAUCCAUGGAAUCGAGUUCAAAGCCCUCUGUAACGUGGCUAUAUCCCAUCUACUCUGAGCUGAUGUUCAGCAGGUGAUGGCCACAGUGGCAGAACCUAGGAAGCCAAGAAGAAACCAGAGAAUGGAGACACAUGGCAGCAAUGGCAAGUCAUCAGACCCAGGAUUUCCCAAAGAACACUGGUCCAGGAAGAUGCUCUGUGAAAAAGUGUUCCCUGGUCGGAGAAAUUUGUGAAACACUUUGCAUAAUACUUAAAAGAAUGUAUGGCACAUCAAAGGUAAUAUGCAAUAAAAGAAUUCAUUUUUUUAAAACCAAGCAUAUGCACAACUUAUUUAACUAUGGAUUCGAUUUUUAGAUUCAUAUUUUUUGACCCACAUUUGUGGAGCCACAUCCAUAGAACAGAUUUGACCAUGCUUAUGGUUAUCAUUAAAAAAUUUUUUUAAAUUCAGAUUGAUUUUGGAAUUGGUUUCCCAUCAUAGUUCAAGUAGAUACUGUCCCAAACAAUCUGAAAUCAAGAAAUUAGCAAAUGGGCUUGUUGUUUGUGGAUUUGAAUGGAUUGAAUUCCUACAGCAUUGAAGAAAGAUAUAUUUUAAAGCCUAUUUUUGGAAAAAUACUCUUAGUUGGGUAUUUCAUUUGAUUUGGUACACAGUAGUCAUAAAUUGCCAUCUUUUUCUGCUGUACUUUAUCCUAAAUAUAUUCCAUGGUAUGUUUUCAUAAUUAACAUGCAAAUAGAUGUAUAGUUUAUAAUUAAUUUCAACUGGGCACAGUGAAAAUCUUGAAAACCUCAGCAUGGAGGCAUCUUUGUUGGUAGAAAUUCAAUGAAAUCCCCAAACAUCUUUGGUUUUGCAAUCCAUAAUUUGCAGAUUAUUAAUACAAUAAAUCCUUGUUGUCUGUGAGAGUUGGCAUCGUACCCAUGAACUCCUGUGUAGAAAGCCUACAAACUAAAAGUCCAAAUGGAAAGAAAAAAUCACGUGGUUUCUGUGUAUGCUCAUUACCUGCUUCUGAAACCAUAAUAUCUCGGCCUUUUAUAGAUCUUAUAACAGUCUCCGCAGGAAGCAGCUGCAGUCAUUAGCCAUAGGACAGACUAAACACACAAUCUGCAUGGAAGGAGGCCUGGAUCAGCUUGGUCUUUCAGAUCUCUAAUCUCAGGCACAGGAAAGCACCAUCAACAGCACCCUUUGUAUAUAUACAUAAAGGUAACAUAUUUUAUCAUUUAAAGGGAUUUGAGAAAUUGAAGAGGCCCAACUCUUUUUCUGCCUUCUUUGGUUUGAGGCUUAGAUUGCUUAAGGGGCUUGCCCAGGAUCACAUAUCUUGUAAGAGACAGAGCAAGGAUUCAAAGCCAGUGCUGGCUUCUGUGUCUCCAUUCUUUCCAUUCUCCUCCAGUGGCUCUUUUGGGAAGCUGAGGGAGGAACAGCAGCAGAAUUGGGUGGCACCUGCCCAUGCCCAUCAUGCACUGAGCAUCUUCAGGUCUGGCCAUGGACCCCUUAAUUCCUAAUCCAGAAUUCCUCCCAUCACUCUUUGCUGAGAAAAGCACUAAAAUGGAGAUAUUUGUUCCAAAAUCCCAAAUUUUAAUUCCAUAGAGCAAAGUGUCUUUAUUUUUAAAUCAUCCAACUCAUCAUAAAUUCAGCUGGAUUCAUUAGAGUUAAAGAAUUGACAACACCAAACAUUUUGUAACAGAAGUUACUGCUGCUUAAGGAGUUAGGGUUCACCUUUUCCAGAGCUCUUCAGUGCCAACCCAGCACCAAUAUCCCAGCGUCGCUGGAGGGAAUGAUGGCGCCCUGCAUUUCAGAGAAGAUUUAAAACCGAGAUCCUAACUGCUCAUCAUCAUUAAAAAUCUCCAGGCAGUUUUCAUAAGAGCAAGGGGGUGGUUGCCUGAGGUUUUGGCUGACAGUCAACCCAACUAAUUACAUUCUGUCUACUGUGUCCUCCCGCAGUUUCAAUUGGAUAUGUUUUUUUUUUUAUUUCCUGUCCUAAUCUGAAUGUAGGGUUGCUAUGUGUUCUUAAGCAGAUGCUGCUGUUCUUGCUGGUAGAAGAGGCUUUUCAGAUUUGUUUUUUUCCUCACAGAAAGUUUUUGAGACUUUAAAUAAAAUAAUUCUUCUAAAUGUUCCUAAGAUCCUGGCACCAAAUACAUUCUAAAUGCAAUGUGUGCAGCAUGAAGGAAUUGCAAAGAUAGCAAGUAGAUAAAAGACGUACUUCACAGGAGCAUCCAGCCUCCUAUAG